rnacentral:snoRNA from 1 species
AAGACUAUACUUUCAGGGAUCGGUUCUAUAGUUCAUAAAAGGGCUGACCUAGACAUUCCCUGACUCUGAAAGUCUCAGGAAGGCAU